UACGUAGGGCGCAAGCGUUGUCCGGAAUUAUUGGGCGUAAAGAGCUCGUAGGCGGUCUGUUACGUCCGCUGUGAAAACCCAGGGCUUAACCCUGGGCUUGCAGUGGAUACGGGUAGACUAGAGGCAGGUAGGGGAGAAUGGAAUUCCCGGUGUAGCGGUGAAAUGCGCAGAUAUCGGGAGGAACACCUAUGGCGAAGGCAGCUCGCUGGGACGUUACUGACGCUGAGACGCGAAAGCGUGGGGAGCAAACAGG
rnacentral:rRNA from 1 species